rnacentral:lncRNA from 1 species
UGAAACCCUAGCCCCCUUCUUUUUCUCUCCACCGCUUGAGAAACUAAGAGCCACUCUUCCUCAACUCCGAUUUGGACAGAGAGAAGAAGAGCUUCGACGGCGCCACGAUAAGAACUCUCCGUCUUUUCCCUUUUUUAUUUUUGAUUUAUCAAAUGCAUAUAUAAAAUAAAAUAAAAACCAAAUAACGAAAAAAAUGAAAGAUUCGCACCUAAAAAAAAAACUUUCUCAGAAUUCGAUCUAUAUUCUUUUAUUUCUUUGUUUCAAAACGCUGUGUUUUUUUUUAUACAAAAAUCCCCCCUUGUUACAGAGAAAUCGUAUUCGUUUUUAUAGCCAAUAUACAAUACUUUUGCUGCUACUUGUUGUCGUUUCUGCCUCUGUUCGGUAGUUUUUUCUUUCCCUUUUCUUGCAUGUGGUCAACAGAGGCGGAGCUUGCUAUUUUGGUGCAAUGCUUGGCUGGCGGUGGCUAGGGUGUCAGGUAAGCCUCGGGACGAGGCACGGAUGGUACGCCCGAGGGAGCGGCGCACAUGGGAAAGGCAGGGAACCCUAGGGUUCCCUGAUGUUUUUUUUUUAAAUUUUUGGGCCCAAUUGGGCCAAUUUAGAUUUUGGGCCUUGGGCCGGGUAUUGUAAUUGGGCUUCGAGAUUGGGUUAACUAUUUAGUUUGGAGGCCCGGGAUGUAACAGCCCAAUUUUCAGUAGUGUCAGAAUAGUGAUUUGAGAUCACUAAAUCCGAUGAAAAUGUUAGAAAAAUUUAUUAAUUAAUAAUUAUAAGUUCAGCGUGAUUUUAGAAAUAUUUUUGAAUUAGCGAAUUUUGUGAUUUAAAAGAAAUUAUUAGGUAAAUUGGGUCGAAAACGAGGUAUCGAGACCUCGAUAUUAUAAACUGAGCCGUAAAUAUUUUUAUAAAUAUUUACGGAGUGUCAUUAGGGUAGUAUUAAAGUUUCGUUAAGAAAUUUUAAUGUUCCGAUGGUUAAUUGAUUAAAAAAGACUAAAUUGCAACAGGGUAAAAGCUUAAUUAUAGAUUAAAGAAAAGUUAAAAGGACUAAAUAGGUAAAUAUGCCAAGUCCCAUAAAUGAGGCGGCAUAUGCAUGGUAAAAAUCUG